AUAGCGUAUAUUAACGUUGUUGCAGUUAAAAAGCUCGUAGUUGGAUCUCGGGUCCAGGCUGGCGGUUCGUUUCGCGACGACACUGCCCGUCCUGACCUACCUGCCGGUCGUCUCGUCGUGCUCUUCGCUGAGUGCGUCGAGUGGCUGGAACGUUUACUUUGAAAAAAUUAGAGUGCUCAAAGCAGGCCGUUUGCCUGAAUAACCGCGCAUGGAAUAAUGGAAUAGGACCUCGGUUCUAUUUUGUUGGUUUUCGGAACUUGAGGUAAUGAUUAAGAGGGACAGACGGGGGCAUUCGUAUUACGGUGUUAGAGGUGAAAUUCUUGGAUCGCCGGAAGACGAACUACUG
rnacentral:rRNA from 1 species